rnacentral:lncRNA from 1 species
AUAGGCUUUGAAGAUUUUGGUGGUUCGAGAUGUGUGCUCGUAGGUCUAUGAAAUUCAUAGAUAGACAUGUUUGAAUUCAUAAUAGACCAGAGAUCAAAGAUUAGAUAAGAAGAAAGAUUAGCAGAGAUGAGGCAAAGGAUAAAAGGAAAAUAUAUAUUAUUUUAUUUUUUAGAAAAUGAUUAAGCUAGUUCGUAGUCAACUCAGCAACUGUUUCCCCGGCAACGGCGCCAAAGAUGCUUGUUGACACUUGCUAACACCACUUGAAUACUAGGUUGUCAUCCCCAGCAUGGCACUAGAGUGUAC